GAUGAACGCUGGCGGCGUGCCUAACACAUGCAAGUCGAGCGAUUUACUUCUGUAAAGAGCGGCGGACGGGUGAGUAACGCGUGGGUAACCUGCCCUGUACACACGGAUAACAUACCGAAAGGUAUGCUAAUACGAGAUAAUAUACUUUUAUCGCAUGGUAGAAGUAUCAAAGCUUUUGCGGUACAGGAUGGACCCGCGUCUGAUUAGCUAGUUGGUAAGGUAACGGCUUACCAAGGCGACGAUCAGUAGCCGACCUGAGAGGGUGAUCGGCCACAUUGGAACUGAGACACGGUCCAAACUCCUACGGGAGGCAGCAGUGGGGAAUAUUGCACAAUGGGCGCAAGCCUGAUGCAGCGACGCCGCGU
rnacentral:rRNA from 1 species